CAGGAAGACCAAAGCCACUGUUGACUAGUCUUUGAAUUAUUAACAGAGCUGACAGUUUAGAUCUCAGUAAACAGCUUCCAGUACUCUUAUGUUAAAUGUUAAUUACAGCGUUUCAGGACUCACUAGUUAAUUGAAUUGGUAGUCAGAGAAUCUAACAGUUACUUUAUAUCGACCACACGCUGUGUGGGAGGAACGGGAACCUGCUCUCUGGGGACUGUUGAGCCAACAGCAUCAUUUCCACUAGCGGCACUGCACAGGGAUCACCACCAAAGCACGGCAGACCUCCUGCAGAGCUUGGGCCCAGUGCGGUGAGCCACGGCCUUUCUGUGGUAGUCACUGCGCUGCAACUGGAAGUUCUGGGGCCGUGGCAGAAAUGUCAACACUUGGCUACCGCAAAUCGGGCCUUGAUUCAGCAGCUUGAGAGGACGCAGCGCUGAGGAGCAGAGCCCUGGCAUCUGCAUUUCCAGCCAAACCCGCAGCGUGAGCGUGCUCAGAUCCCACUUUCAAAUCCGCUUUUCUAGAUGCGAUUUGCAAAAGUGAUCAAGGGUGGAAGAAAUGUUGGGGUCCAGCGUGAUUUUCCAGCUUUGAGCCUUGAGAAUUUAGGUUUAAGGUCGUGGUAUUUUGUGCAAUGGAAAAGGCAUAGGAAGGAAGAGAUUUCAGAGGGAAAAUAAAUCUAAGUUCACGCUGGGGCACUCUGAGCUUCUUGGGAGACAUCUAAGUGGAGAUGAGCUGGACAAGACAGAAGGUGCACUGGACAAGGUUCGACUUGGGGAGAGAGCACCGGGAAGGCUCAGCGCGGGGAACGGGGGGCUUGCAGAGAGGGUCAGCGUGAAGGAAGAAGAUCCAAGGAGUAUAACCCUUUAAUUGGCAUGCUUAGAUAGGUCAUAGUGCUGUGUGAAAAGAUAGCCCGUUUACCCGGCUCCCACCAAGCUCCGACCCUCAGCAGCGUCUCCGGCACGCCUGCCCUCUGCUCGGAGCUGCUCCACAUUCUCCCAGGACCCAGUUUGGAUCAUCGCUUAAUGAUGGGCUUCCAUAUUCCCGAAAAACUGGGAAACUGGUUGUAUAAACUCGUUUCCUCCAUCCCGACCCAACCCCUCUAGUAUUUACCCUGCUCUGCUAUACUACAUGGAAAGUUACAACUUAUUUACCUUUCUCUCAAAAUCUGAAAUCUCAGCUUUGUCAGUCCAAUAAUGCAAAUAUUUAAUUACUUUCUUACCGUGGUGCCAAAGGAUUACUUCCUUACCAUGGCUUGUUUUCCUUCUGCUUUCCGGCAUCCAAGACAAACUUGGGAUUUGUUGAAAAGUUGUAUUUAGCUUUUCUUUUUGUAACAUAAGAUAGACACACACAACGCCUGCUUGUUCCCACAUUUCAGGUUUUUCUCUGCAGCCUUCCAGACUAGAAUAGAUUUCUUUAUAAUGUUCUCCCCCACUGCUAUGGGGGUUCCUACUAUCCUGUAAUAUCAAUUGUUUCACUAGUCACUGGCCUUCGAGAAAGUUGGUGGAGGGUGGGGGGGAUGUGCAUCUAUCCUCUUAAUCUCUGCAUUUCGGAGCUGGUGCCUAGUGGGGACCAAAGGAACGUGUGCUGAAGUCCCUGGGAAGCCCGAAGCGUGUGACUAGUGCAGCUUUGGUUCCUUGCGAGAGACGUUUGGGAGGCAUCUCAGGGAACAGCAUUUCACUGAAUUUUCUUGCAUUCAGUGCAGCAGUUUGGCAACCCUUCAGAACUGCGCUCUGCAAUGAAAAUCAGAAGCUAAACACAGACCCGUUUUAGGGGGUGUGCAGCAGGCUCUGUUCUGAGCCAGCUCUGUGCACGGUGAGCAGAUGAAGUCCUCCCCACCGGCUCAUGCCAGUGGCCAUGUGCCCUGUUCUCUGCUUUCCUCUACCUCCACCCCCACCUCCACCGCCAACCUCAGCAAAAGCCCACGCUGCCUGUGCAGGGUAUGCUAAAGAUUCAGCACUUGCCUUUGGGCUAAAACAGGUGUUCUGGUAGGAAAACAAGCACUGUACUAGGAAGCACAGGAAGCAAGAAUUUUGGGGUGACUUCUAGGAUGGUUUUGUAUACAGAAAAAUCAAUUCAGUUUUACUUUGUUUUAAAAUUCUUAUUACACUUAUGAAUACAAGAACCUGCCGUCUCUUUUAAGAAGCCUUUGUUUGAGUUACAUUUCAUAUUAUUCUACUUAAAAUUUGCAAAUUUUAUCAAUCACUUACUUGCCUUUGGAAAAUAUUUGGUGUAAUAUACAAUUUCUAAGUACUUGAGUUCUGAAUUAAUAAAUAAACUAUU